GAAAUGCGAAAAGCAAUGCGAAUUGCAGAAUUCCGCGAGUCAUCAGAUCUUCGAACGCAUCUGGCGUCUAUCGGAUAUCCGAUAGACAUGUUUGUUUCAGUGUGUUGUUAAGACUCACAAAUCUUAAUGUGAUUGACGAACAGGUGACUCUAUACAGAAUCAUCUCUCGUCUCUCAUGAAAGAAGCGCUGUGCGAUCAGCACUAAUGCAGUAGUCAGUCCUCGCGAUUGAUACUCAUUGGUGUAUGAUCAAUUAUACAGCGGUAAUGUGUAUCUCAUCAAUCACGCAUCUGAGACAAGCAAGAUAACCCGCUGAACUUAA
rnacentral:misc_RNA from 1 species